UACGGGGGGGGCAAGCGUUGUUCGGAAUUACUGGGCGUAAAGGGCGCGUAGGCGGCCUUAUAAGUCAUUUGUGAAAGCUCUGGGCUCAACCCAGGAAUUGCAAGUGAUACUGUAAGGCUUGAGUUCGGUAGAGGAGGGCGGAAUUCCUGGUGUAGCGGUGAAAUGCGCAGAUAUCAGGAAGAACACCCGUGGCUAAGGCGGUUCUCUAGUACGGUACUGACGCUGAGACGCGAAAGCGUGGGGAGCGAACAGG
rnacentral:rRNA from 1 species